UAGGUAGCCAGCUACAACUCUGCAAGGGAGAUGCAAUGCACAGCCUGGCUUGUUAGCAUUUCACACCGACUUUGCAAGGAUGUAGAUGGCUAUACUUGGAGAAUCAAGCCCUGGUAUUUAACUACAUAAGCAGAAAGCCAUUGCCCCUGGGAUUAAACACAAAACGUGUGUGUUAGGGCAGAAGGAAGAAGACAAAGAUUAAAAUCUGGUGUGAAAAGGAAAAAAACCCAACAACAUUGGUUACAUUUUGCAAUUUAAAGUGCUUCACUCAGCUUACAUCAGCACUACUCUGUGUAGCUCCAGAUGGCUUCAGGACUUUCGGAGGUAAACACACAAUGAUAAAAAAUUAUGAUUUAUGCUGAAAUUGAAGGAGGGAGAGAUACACUGAGAGACUGAAAAGACACAAUUAUUUCCUGUAUGUCAGAGAUGAGAAGAGGAAGAAAGAAAUUAAUAGACAUUGAUUAUGAGAGGUAGGGAAUCAGAUGCGCCUUUGUAUUUUGUUUAUAAUGAAAUUAAAGAGCUAUAAAUAUCAAAUGACAAAACCCAAGGAAAUAUUCCAUUUUAACCUGGAUUUAAAACCUGUGUGAAUAGCACUAACAUUGCAGCUCUGCACAAUAAAUUCUAGAGGUAAUUCAAACCUCAUGAUUCAGGUUGUGGGGUUCAAGAAAGAAUGCAUUGGCCAGUUCCAUUUCCUGGUUUAUUUUUGGCUUUUAUUUAGAUGUUAUGCUACUGUUGGAGGAAAGAUCCCAGAGGGGAUGGCAAUGUAGCAUGAUCCAUUAUGGAAGCACCUAUUUAAUUAUGCAAUGUGUUGUUGAAAAAUAAACUAAUGUGCCUGUAGGUUGGUGUAACUAUGCUUUGUCUCUGAGCUCUUAGCUUGUAAAGUUUGUUUAGCCAGAAUAGCUGUCAAACAGCUACACUAGAGGUUACGUACUGGGAGAAAAAUGUAGUGAGGAGAUGGUUUGGUUUGGAUGGAGCUAAAAGAAUAUAAUGCAGAAGACACAAUUUAACUUACAGAGUUUUUCCAAAUGGAAAGAAAGCAGUGAAUAUGGGGGAAUAGACGUGCUUUAUUAUUGGUUUAUUUUAUUUUUUUUUUAUUUAAAAGAGAUGCUGCCUCAAAACUUCAGGACCUUUAUGACUAGUUAAAAACAAGAAGAGCAAAAAUACAAAAUACUUUACUGGCCAACAAGACUGCAUUAUGCACCAUAACAAAAUAAGAACAUAAGAAGUGUCAUACUAAAGGUCAAGAGAACAUAAGCUAUGAGGGAAGACUGAAAGAAUUGGGCUUGUUUAGUUUAGAAAAGAGAAGACUGA